rnacentral:rRNA from 1 species
GACGUAGGGGGCCAGCGUUGUUCGGAAUUACUGGGUGUAAAGGGUUCGUAGGCGGUGCGGCAAGUUGGGAGUGAAAUCUCUGGGCUUAACCCAGAGGCUGCUUCCAAAACUGCUGUGCUUGAGUGUGGGAGAGGCGCGUGGAAUUGCAGGUGUAGCGGUGAAAUGCGUAGAUAUCUGCAGGAACACCCGUGGCGAAAGCGGCGCGCUGGACCCCUACUGACGCUGAGGAACGAAAGCUAGGGGAGCAAACAGG